rnacentral:lncRNA from 1 species
AGGAAAAGAAAAAAAGAAAAAGAAAAAAAAAAAAAGAGGGAAGGGAAUUAUCCAAUUCAUGGCUACAUCUUUAUAAAUUCGUGUCAAAGGAAAUAGAAAUAAAAGUAUGUUUUUGCAAAAUAAAAAAUAAAAAAAGUAUGCUUGACUAAAAAAAAAGAGAGUAUGUUUUGGCAAUAUUACAAACAAUGAUUGGGGUUACAAUGUUGUCAUAAACAAAAUUGAAGGGCUUUCAUUUCAUGUUUUUAGUAUUGUGCCCCCUUAAUAGUGAUUACUUUGUAUUGUGUUCCCUAAUGCUGAAAUGUCAUCGAUUGCAUCAAUCAGAUCGUUCUACCUCAAUUAGAGACCAAAUUCUAUUGUUGUUUGCUUUGAUGGGAAUAGAUGGGGUAUCCUCUUUCCAAGUCUGUCCUUGAAUUUGGACAACACCAUUCAUUUACAUUAUUCAUUGUUAAUGUGGUGGGAUUAGUUAACAGGUGAGGAUUUGAUACCCCUUUUGUUUUGACAUAUGUCUUUGCUUUUUGUCUUCGUGAGCUUAACUUAGUUGGUAAGGACGGUGUAUAAUAUAUGUAAGGUCUGGGGUUGAAACCUCGGUCACCACCCAUAUAUCUUUGCUUUCUCGUUCUUGCAUUUUAGAUAACAUUGAAGAGUUAGAAACAUUUUCUCCAACACGUGAAAUUCAUGUGAGCGCCAUAUAUUGAAAUAAGUCUGGUGAAGCUCAAAUGAAUUUACUCAGAAAUAGAGCGAGUGUUAGAUAAAGUGUUAUUAACAUUCAUUUUAAAUAAGCGAAAUGAUAUUUGCAUAAUUAUUUUUUAAACAACUUUUGAAAGAAAAAAAAAAACAUUUUUUCCUCUUUUCUUAUAACAACUUUUUUAGUGACGGAUAGUUUACUUAUGGUAUGUUUGUUUUAGCGGUGGAUUUAUCACUUAUGCGGCAAAAAACCACAGAGGAGAAGCUUGGUUUGUUAGCUUCUCUUAAAUCUCGGUGGGAGCAUAUAGAAACACACGUUUGAUGGUGCAAACUCCCAGCAAACAUAGGCUUAGUAUAACAAUCACAUAUAGCAAAAAGCUUAUGUGCAUUUUCUUAGGUGUUUUUCCUAUGAUUUUUAACUAAAUUCAUCAUGAUUUCUUUAAA